rnacentral:rRNA from 1 species
UACGAAGGGUGCAAGCGUUACUCGGAAUUACUGGGCGUAAAGCGUGCGUAGGCGGUUUGUUAAGUCCGCUGUGAAAGCCCUGGGCUCAACCUGGGAAUUGCAGUGGAUACUGGCAAGCUAGAGUGCGGUAGAGGAUGGUGGAAUUCCCGGUGUAGCGGUGAAAUGCGUAGAGAUCGGAAGGAACACCCGUGGCGAAGGCGGCCAUCUGGACCAGCACUGACGCUGAGGCACGAAAGCGUGGGGAGCGAACAGG